GACGAACGCUGGCGGCGUGCUUAACACAUGCAAGUCGAACGGAAAGGCCCUGCUUGCAGGGUACUCGAGUGGCGAACGGGUGAGUAACACGUGGGUGAUCUGCCCUGCACUUCGGGAUAAGCCUGGGAAACUGGGUCUAAUACCGGAUAGGAGCCAUUUUUAGUGUGAUGGUUGGAAAGUUUUUUCGGUGUAGGAUGAGCUCGCGGCCUAUCAGCUUGUUGGUGGGGUAAUGGCCUACCAGGGCGGCGACGGGUAGCCGGCCUGAGAGGGUGGACGGCCACAUUGGGACUGAGAUAUGGCCCAGACUCCUACGGGAGGCAGCAGUGGGGAAUAUUGCACAAUGGGCGCAAGCCUGAUGCAGCGACGCCGCGUGGGGGAUGACGGCCUUCGGGUUGUAAACGCCUUUCGCUAGGGACGAAGCUUUUUGUGACGGUACCUAGAUAAGAAGCACCGGCUAACUACGUG
rnacentral:rRNA from 1 species